rnacentral:rRNA from 1 species
UACAGAGGUCCCAAGCGUUGUUCGGAUUCAUUGGGCGUAAAGGGCGCGUAGGCGGCCCUGUAAGUCCGUUGUGAAAGUCAAAGGCUCAACCUUUGAAAGCCGAUGGAUACUGCAGGGCUAGAGUCCGGAAGAGGCGAGUGGAAUUCCUGGUGUAGCGGUGGAAUGCGCAGAUAUCAGGAGGAACACCAAUAGCGAAGGCAGCUCGCUGGGACGGUACUGACGCUAAGGCGCGAAAGCGUGGGGAGCGAACAGG